UACGUAGGGGGCAAGCGUUGUCCGGAUUUAUUGGGCGUAAAGGGCGCGUAGGCGGUUUCUUAAGUUUGAAGUGACAGUGGGUGGCUUAACUACCCAAGGCCUUUGAAAACUGGGGAACUUGAGGACCAGAGAGGGACAUAGAAUUCCGGGUGGAGUGGUGAAAUGCGUAGAUAUCCGGAGGAAUACCAAAGGCGAAGGCAGUGUCCUGGAGGGUUAACUGACGCUUAGGCGCGAAAGCUAGGGGAGCGAACAGG
rnacentral:rRNA from 1 species